rnacentral:misc_RNA from 1 species
GAUGAAGAACGUAGCGAAAUGCGAUAAGUAAUGUGAAUUGCAGAAUUCAGUGAAUCAUCGAAUCUUUGAACGCACAUUGCGCCCGCCAGUAUUCUGGCGGGCAUGCCUGUUCGAGCGUCAUUACAACCCUCAGGCCCCCGGGCCUGGCGUUGGGGAUCGGCGGAAGCCCCCUGUGGGCACACGCCGUCCCUCAAAUACAGUGGCGGUCCCGCCGCAGCUUCCAUUGCGUAGUAGCUAACACCUCGCAACUGGAGAGCGGCGCGGCCAUGCCGUAAAACACCCAACUUCUGAAUGUUGACCUCGAAUCAGGUAGGAAUACCCGCUGAACUUAAGCAUAUCAAUAAGCGGAGG